GCAGGAGACAAAGAAUGAAAGGAAAAAGAGAAAAAUGAAGGAAAAAUGAAAAAGAAAUUGAACAAAUGAAUUACAAUCCUUUAAAAUUAAAACUAAAAAUUUAAAAUGUUAUCAAUUUUCUAUUUUUAAUAUUUUAAUCAAAAAUUUUUUAAAGCAGAAAUGUUUUUCUUUAAUGCUCGAUUUCUUCUAACGGCCUAAACCAUAAAAUUAUCCAUUUAAUUCUCGCAAUUCCAAUUUCCGUUCAAAUCUCUAGAUAACAUUUUAUCAAAUUCUUUAAUUUGUUCUAACAAUGGAUUCAAUAUCCACAAAAUUUCUUGCUAGUCCCAAUCAUAAAUCAAAAAUCCAUUUCAAAGAACUAAAGAUUCCUUUAGAAAUGUAACAAAAAUAUAAUUUGCUAUCACAAUUAGUUCUAAAACAAUCCAAAUCAAUGGACUCAAACCCUAGCUCUCAAAUUAAAGCAUUAAUUAAAAAAUAAAUAAAAAAGAAAGAAAAGAAAAACAAAGGAAGAGCUUUUUUCCAUCUAACUUGGAAAAAAACCAUGGUUUUUUUUUUUCCAAAACCCUAGCCACCAUGCCGUUACCACUUCCAUCUUCCAUCGCUGCAAUUCCGUCGUCCUUUCCACCAUUAGACAACUCGAGAACAAUUACUAGCCAAACCACAACCUUCUUCUGCCCUUGAUUUGCCACCGCAACGUCACUCAAAUCCUCCAAAUUAGGAGCUACACCACCUAUUCAUAGCUGCCAAGCCAGCCAUCACUGUUGUCAAUCCAACCCACCAUUUGAUUCAUUCGACUCCACUGAGCACAUCUGAGCAAACAACAUCCCCAAUCACAGCCAAAACCUUGUGUUUGGUGGGAAGAUUUUGGAUGGUUUUUGGUUGGGGUUAACAGAGAAAUGCAUGUUUUAUGAAAGAAGAGAAAAAGAAAAAAAAAAAAGAAACAAAGAAGAAGAUGAACAGGGAAGAGAACGAAGAAGAUGAAGAAGGGAGAAAAAAUUCGCCUUUUUUAUACUUUUUUAGAUUUAAAUUUUUUGAUUGUGUUAUAUACUUUAAUUUUGAUUAUAAUAAUGUUGAUUGAUGCAGAAAAUUAUUUGAUUUGAUGCAGAAAAUUAUUUGAUUUGAUGCAGAGAAGAAGAAAAAAGAAGCAAAAGAACAUAGAAUAGAUAAAGAAACAAAGAUUGAAAAAAAAAAGUAGAAGACAAAGAAAUAAGAAGUAAAAAUCGAUUUUUUUAUUUUCAUUGUG
rnacentral:lncRNA from 1 species